GGACGAACGCUGGCGGCGUGCCUAACACAUGCAAGUCGGGCGGAGUCGAUCGACGGAAGCCUUCGGGCGGAAGAUGGUUGACUUAGCGGCGGAUGGGUGAGUAACGCGUGGGCAACCUGCCUCGAAGACCGGGAUAACAGCCCGAAAGGGCUGCUAAUACCGGAUGUGGUCAAGGAUCCACAUGGAUUUUUGAUUAAAGGGGAAACCCGUUUCGAGAUGGGCCCGCGUCCUAUCAGCUAGUUGGUGAGGUAAAAGCUCACCAAGGCGACGACGGGUAGCCGGCCUGAGAGGGUGACCGGCCACACUGGAACUGAGACACGGUCCAGACUCCUACGGGGGGCAGCAGUGGGGAAUCUUCCACAAUGGGCGAAAGCCUGAUGGAGCGACGCCGCGUGAGCGAAGAAGGCCUUCGGGUUGUAAAGCUCUGUCUGGAGGGACGAAGGAAGUGACGGUACCUACAGAAGAAGCGACGGCUAAAUACGUGCCAGCAGCCGCGGUAAUACGUAUGUCGCAAGCGUUAUCCGGAAUUAUUGGGCGUAAAGGGCAUCUAGGCGGUCAAUCAAGUCGAAGGUGAAAACUUGUGGCUCAACCAUAAGCUUGCCUACGAAACUGAUUAACUAGAGUACUGGAGAGGUGGACGGAACUACACGAGUAGAGGUGAAAUUCGUAGAUAUGUGUAGGAAUGCCGAUGAUGAAGAUAGUUCACUGGACAGAAACUGACGCUGAAGUGCGAAAGCUAGGGGAGCAAACAGGAUUAGAUACCCUGGUAGUCCUAGCUGUAAACGAUGAUCACUGGGUGUGGGCAGGAAGACUGUCUGUGCCGAAGCUAACGCGAUAAGUGAUCCGCCUGGGGAGUACGACCGCAAGGUUGAAACUCAAAGGAAUUGACGGGGACCCGCACAAGCGGUGGAGCAUGUGGUUUAAUUCGACGCAACGCGAGGAACCUUACUAGAUCUUGACAUCCUCAGAAUCGAACAGAAGUGUUUGAGUGCCUUCGGGAACUGAGAGACAGGUGGUGCAUGGCUGUCGACAGCUCGUGUCGUGAGAUGUUGGGUUAAGUCCCGCAACGAGCGCAACCCCUAUCGUUAGUUACAAUCAUUAAGUUGGGGACUCUAGCGAGACUGCCUGCGAAGAGCAGGAGGAAGGUGGGGAUGACGUCAAGUCAUCAUGCCCCUUAUGAUCUGGGCUACACACGUGCUACAAUGGAUGGUACAAAGAGGAGCGAAAUGGUGACAUGGAGCAAAUCUCAAAAGCCAUUCCCAGUUCGGAUUGAAGUCUGCAACUCGACUUCAUGAAGUUGGAAUCGCUAGUAAUCGCAAAUCAGCAAUGUUGCGGUGAAUACGUUCUCGGGUCU
rnacentral:rRNA from 1 species